GUGAGGAAUUUUCCGCAAUGGGCGAAAGCCUGACGGAGCAAUGCCGCGUGAAGGAUGAAGGCCUAUGGGUUGUAAACUUCUUUUCUCAGAAAAGAAUUAUGACGGUAUCUGAGGAAUAAGCAUCGGCUAACUCUGUGCCAGCAGCCGCGGUAAGACAGAGGAUGCAAGCGUUAUCCGGAAUGAUUGGGCGUAAAGCGUCUGUAGGUUGUUUAAAAAGUAUUCUGUCAAAGAUUAGGGCUUAACCCUAGAUAGGCAGAAUAAACUUUUAAGCUAGAGUUGGUAGAGGCAGAGGGAAUUCCCGGUGGAGCGGUGAAAUGCGUAGAUAUCGGGAGGAACACCAAAGGCGAAGGCACUCUGCUGGGCCAAUACUAACACUGAGAGACGAAAGCGAGGGGAGCAAAUGGGAUUAGAUACCCGGGUAGUCC
rnacentral:rRNA from 1 species